rnacentral:sRNA from 1 species
CCAAUUUAACAUCAAACUCAGAUGUUGAACGUGAAGGAUAACGUUGCGUCAGCAACGGCCCGUAGGGCGAGGCGGAGCCGAGUCAUCCUGCACGACCCACCA